CAAGCCAUAUUUGCAGGGACCAUGCCUGCUUUUGUUCCCUACUACAUCCACUGUGUGCAACAGAGCAAUUGGCAUAGAAAAAGCCAUGAAUGAAAUGAGUUGAAUGAUUAGAAUGAAUGUUCAAAUAUAUCAUCUUAUUUCAUCAUUGUGGUAGCACUGUGUCUGGAUAUUCUCUCAGGUUUAUAGAUGAAGAAACUGAUGAUUACAGAGGUUAAGUAACCUGGCCAAGACAGAUACACCAUUAAUUAGUACUAAGCAAAACUAGAAUUGGAACCUAAGCCUCUGACUUUAGAUCCAGGGUUCUAAGUUCAGCAGACUCUACCCUGAGGUACCUUCAAAUAAAUAGAAUAAUAGACAUUUAUGAGGGCUGUUGCAGGAAGGCACUUAUCAGGGCUUGAUUAUAUAGGAAGCUGGAUUUGUUGGUUUACCAAUUUUCUUCAAAUACCAUUCUAUAAUUCUAUGAAGAUUAUCUUAUAAUACAGCUCAUGGGUUUUGACAUGGAAUAGAACUUGGUAAUGUCAGCAUAUCCAUCUGCAACGUAGGAAUAAAAAUACGGAUCAAACCAACUUGUUUUGCACAUUAAGAUGGUAGAUAUCAGUUGCCUAUAACAGCAUUUGCCGUAUAGGAGAUAUGGAGUGUUAUUAUUUUUAAUAAUAAUAAAAUUAAACAACAUAGGUGAAAGAAGAACCCUGGAGUUUGAAAAUGGAGUAACUUCUCCUUCCCUCUGCUUCCACAGAAAGGCAAGCUCUCUCCUCCCUCUGUCACUUCUCUGCUUUCCUUCCUGAUGGCCGGCAGGUCACUCAAUCCUAUUUUGAUGUCGAGAGACUUAGGCUCUGAAAGUGACAGAAAAACCAGAAACAAGAUGUCCCAGUUUUCACCUAACACUUCUACCUCCUCGCUUUUUUAAAUGGAAUUAAUUUCUAGUAGCCACGCCUUUCCUGGCCCUUCUCUUCUAGUUAGCCAGGUGACCUGAUACUUGAGAGGAACAGGGAGGAGACUCUGUCUUACAGAGAAGGAGUCUCCAGGAAAAGCAGCAUUAUCUGUAAAACAUCUCCACAGGGGGAGGAGGGAGAAGAAGAAUGUUUUAUCUCCGGACAGGAAAGUCAGACUGUGUUUCACGGAGAGGGUAUGGUUUCAAUCAGCUGAGGUUGCAUGUGGGGGCCUCCUGGCUCCUCUCCUUCACCUUUACUUAUGCCAGAAUCUUACUCCAAAAAAAGCUGAACUAGGCCAGUGAUAGAAUUAUAUCCAGUGCAACACUUGCCCCUGGGGUCAACUUCAUAACCUCAAGAAUGGUGUGGGUCUCAUAGCAGACACCCAAUAAACACAUGUUGAGUGACUGAUAAAACCUAAGUGUAUAAUGGACAACUUUACACACAUGCUCACAAAUUUACAGGCGUCUGGUAUGAGGCAUCUGUCUUCAGACACUUUCUCCUUUGAAUUUCCUUUCAUGUUUUUUCUUUCACUUUCUUGGUUCAUUUUUCCCCUCUUGCCUUUACAUACACUUGCACAUGCAUACACACACACACACACACACACACACACACACACAUUUCAAGAUCAAAAAGAUGUAAAAAUAUAAUAGAUUGAUUUUAUUUAUACCAAAAGAGGCAAACUGAAAUUGUUAGUAUAACAUACCACACCAAAAUUUCCUGUUCUGCUGCUGGUUCAGUUUUCAUAAAAAUGUUAGCAAGGUCUGACUGAGUUUGCAUCAUUAUCUAGACAAUUUAAUAUUCUAUAUCAUUUUUGAUGAGUUGGUGUGGCAUAAUAGCUAUUCAGACUGAAGUGAAGCACACAGAGGACCUAAUUCUGAGACCAGAAAGCAAAACAGAGGGGGACGUGGGUGUGAAUAUGUACUGACAAAGAGUGGCAAGAUAGACUAAGGGCAGGAAGGGGCUGAGGCAGCAUAGAGAGAGGGUAGGAUAUGUAAAGUACUUACCUAGCUGCCACUGCUGAACACGGUGUGAUCUGAUAGACAAGGCAAGACCAUGUAUUUCAUGUCAUAGUGAAUACAAGUACCCAGUAGCCAGGGGGAUGUGGUGCAUAAUGUGAAAGGAUAUACUGUCAGGUGAGGAAACCCACCAGAGGAAUCCAAAGUGUAUAACAUUGAGGAGUCCAGAUAGGUAGCAACUUGGAGAUCUGCUAGUGGAUCAGUAAUUGUGCUGUAAGCCACAGAGACUGCCAGUUAAUGCAGAGCUGACUGGAAAGAGCAAGGCAUGCCCCAAACAUGGCAGGAAGCACAGUGUAGUUGAUUAUUAAAAAAUGGCCCUUUGGCCGUGUAAACUUUGCAGCUUAUCCCAUCAAGAGGUCAAAUCUGUUCUCCAUCCAUUGAUUCUCUACCCAUUUGACCAUUUGACUUAUUUUAUCCAAUAUAUUGCAAGUAGAUGCUUGAAAAGAACUUGCUCACUGGGAUGUGCCUUCUUUCUUUCGAACCCCAGUCAUCGCCACCCUAUGAUGAUUCCCAGGCUCAUCUAUUGAAUGAUGAGAGAUGUAUGUCCCUGUUACCUGUACCACCCAAGCCAGCAUCCUCUGCCAACCAUCCACAGCAGAAUCAUCUAGCUGACCAGCAGCUGUCUGCAACACAUGAAUGAGCCUGGCCCAGGACUGGUGGAUGAACCACCCAGCCAAGCCAAGUCCAAAUUGCCAGCACACAGACCUACAUGCCUAAGUAAUGGUUAUUGUUUUCAGCCACUAAGUUUGUGAGUUGUUUGUUUUGCUAUACAUGAAAAGUAACUGAUAUACAAGGGUAUUGGGUGAGUUACUAGUCCAGUGAUUUGGGAACAAGAAUUCAGCUAAUGGAGGAACUCAAUUUUGGGAAAAACCAGGAGGCCAGUAAUAAGAACCUGAGUAAAAGGGAGGACAGGGUCUUAGAAACAGAAGCAAAUUUGUCAGAUUUUCCGGACAUCACAGUUGGGCUGGGAGGCUUUAAAUGUGAACAUGUUUUAACAUCAUAAUGUGGACUAAAAUUUGCUACGUGCCUCUAGGGUCAGGUCAGGAUUAUCACUAGGAACCUUGAUUUAAAAAUUUUCCCACUCAUCUCUUUUGAGCCCGUUAUACACAGGAGCCAUUCCAAAUCCUUUCUAAGCUCUUCAGAUCCCAAAUCAUACUUCGUUUUACUCUCUCAUCUGAGGACCUUAUCUCCCAUGCCACAAAGAAAAUAGAAGCAACCAAAUGAGAACUGACUCAUUGUUCUUCCGCAAAAGCUACAGACUUAACCAACUUCAUCUAGAUAUGCCUCCCCCUCCCCAACAUGAUGGAAGCAGUGUCCUCUUCCUGCCUGAGGUUAUCAUCCUACUCAUGCUCUAGAUCCACCUAGAGGAUUUCUAUCACUAUUUCCUGUCUUCUGUAUCUUCCCUCUCUUACCUUUCAUGCAGGUUUUUUCCCACCAGAAUGGAAAUAUUCCAAUAAUUUCCGUUAAAAAACCCUCCCUUUUCCCAUGUUGUCCUAUGACCACCCUAUUUCUUUCAUCCCCUUUACUUUAAAAAUUUAGCAAAAAAUGAUACACACUUACUGCUCCUAUGUCCUCCCCUCAUUUAACUUAUAACUUAGUUUAGUUUUUUGUUGUUGUUGUUCUUGCCCUCAACACUUCAUGAAGUUACUCUCAUUCAAAGUUGGAGACCAGACUUCACCUGAAAUACACAAUGCCAUCCACCUUGUUCUUCCUGAUAACAUGUGAAGGGUUGUGAUAAUCUGUCAGACAUCCCAUUUCCUCUUACAGUAUUAUCCUGGAAGUGAUACAGUUUCUCCAAACUACAGGAUAUCCCCUCGGUUAACAAUUUAUUUGGAAUUAUCAUCCUUAGUUUAAGAAUUGGAAGGGAUGGUCUACAAGGCUAGAGCUGGAUUCUGAUUAAUGAGCAGUCUGUAUGAUACUGAAGUUUUUCUUCUGAGAUGUAAUAGCCAGAGAUCACCCGUAAGGAAGGCCAUAUCAAUACCAUUAAUCCAGAAAUAAUCAAUGGGUCGGAAGUCUAGGAGAUCCAUAUAGGUGGGAGAAGAUAGAGAAAGUUUCGUGUCUGGGAGUUAAUCAUAUCUAGACAGGGUCAUGCAGUAGGCUAUUGCACUGGGACGUGGAAGCUAGCAGUUGCAAACAUGCAUGCAUGUCUAAUUUUACCUGCCAUUAUGAUGUCACUCUGUCCUCCUGUUUACUCAAGUUCAUGUCACUGGCCUCCUGAUUUAUUCUAGAAAAAAUUAACUUGCACCCAAACCUUGCAGCAAGAGAGAAAUUGAAGUGGAGGGGUUUUUUGUUUGUUUGUAUCCAGCUUCUGCAGUUCAAGAAAAUAUGUAUGUGGGGAAUGGGACUGGCUACAUAGUGCUAAUAGACUGUAUCCAGAAACAUAUUCCUAAAUGUUAAAAGAAGCACUCACAAAAAGCAAAUAGACAAAAUCUUUAAAAGCUAUUAAAAUAGGGGAAAUUCCAGAAAUUAAUAGGCAAAACUAAAAUUAAACAAGUUAAAUUAGUAAAUGUAAUGCAAUACUGUUAACCUAAUUUUAAAGUCUGUCCAAUUGAACCACAAAGCAUUUCUACUAAAUACAAGCCACACAACUAAAAUUUAAGUUACUGAAAAAUGUUGAUAAUCAAAGACUAUGCAAAUAUAUACUAGUUAGGUUCAAACAAAAAGGUGAAUGUCUAAUUUUAACUUGAGAUUAAAUUCAAGUUAAAAAAUUGAAAAUAAAGAGCACUUUAUAAAUGUUCUAUCAACAAUAAAUAAGAAAUAGUUAUAGUUACAGCACAUAAUUUAACAUCAAUAUCUUAAAGCAGAAACUAUAGCAGAUAAAAAAAAAUGGUAGAAACAAACUAGUAAAGAGACUUUAGCCCAUCUAUAUAAUUCUCUCACCAUGACAGAUCAAGUGCCUAUAAAACACUUCCCAAAAUUAACCAAAUGUUAUGCUACAAAGAAAACUUCAAAAAUUCCUUACGUGGAUAAUUUACAGAUUAUAUUCUCUAAACAGAAUGUAAUAAAACUGGAAAUUAACACCAAAUCAGAACACAAAAAUACCUUAUUACUUGGAAAUUAAAACUCAAAUAAUUCUUGAGUAAAAGAGAAAACUCAAAUACAGAUUACAAAGAAUGAAAAUACUCCCAAAAAACCUGUAAGAGUUCCCACUAUGAUGAAGUAGGAUAAGAAUCUGAUCCUCAGCCCAGCGCAGUGGGUUAAAGGAUCUGGCAUUGCUGUAGCUAUGUCUUGGAUUCAGUCCCUGGCCUGCAAACUUCCAUAUGCCAUGGUGUGGCCAUUAUAUAAAACAACAACAACAGAAAUUCCUAAAAUGCUACAUAUGAGAACUGUGGAAUAGCAAGUAAAACAGGACUUAUCAGAAAAUUCAUAAUUUUAAACAUUUAUGUUAACAAAUAACAAAGAAUAAAAAUAAAUAUUUAACCUAAGACUUUGGAAAGGAAAAAUUAAACUCUAGGAAGUGGCAGGAAGGAAUCAAUAGAUAAAAGGCAAAAACUUGUGAGCUAGAUAACAAAUGAUAGAAAAAUAGAACAGAAAAUAGAAAAAUAUAUUCAGAAAGUUCCCAUCAUGGCUCAGCAGAAAUGAAUCUGACUAGCAUCCCUGACGAUGCAGUUUCAAUCUCUGGUCUCGUUCUGUGGGUUAAGGAUCUGGUGUUGCUGUGAGCUAUGGUGUAGAUCACAGAUGCAGCUCAGAUUUGGUGUUUCUGUGGCUGCGAUGUAGGCCAGUGGCUACAGCUCCGAUUUGACCCCUAGCCUGG
rnacentral:lncRNA from 1 species